rnacentral:rRNA from 1 species
UACGGGGGGAGCAAGCGUUGUUCGGAUUUACUGGGCGUAAAGGGCGCGUAGGCGGCCUCUGCAAGUCGACUGUGAAAUCUCCGGGCUUAACCCGGAACGGUCAGCCGAUACUGCAGGGCUAGAGUGCAGAAGGGGCGACUGGAAUUCUCGGUGUAGCGGUGAAAUGCGUAGAUAUCGAGAGGAACACCUGUGGCGAAGGCGGCAUCCUGGACCAACACUGACACUGAUGAGCGAAAGCCAGGGGAGCAAACGGG